UCCAGACUCCUACGGGAGGCAGCAGUGGGGAAUAUUGCACAAUGGGGGAAACCCUGAUGCAGCAACGCCGCGUGAGUGAAGAAGUAUUUCGAUAUGUAAAGCUCUAUCAGCAGGGAAGAAGCAAGACGGUACCUGACUAAGAAGCCCCGGCUAACUACGUGCCAGCAGCCGCGGUAAUACGUAGGGGGCGAGCGUUAUCCGGAUUCACUGGGUGUAAAGGGAGCGUAGACGGCCAUGCAAGCCAGGGGUGAAAGCCCGGGGCCCAACCCCGGGACUGCCCUUGGAACUGCAUGGCUGGAGUGCGGGAGGGGCAGGCGGAAUUCCUGGUGUAGCGGUGAAAUGCGUAGAUAUCAGGAGGAACACCGGCGGCGAAGGCGGCCUGCUGGACUGCGACUGACGUUGAGGCCCGAAAGCGUGGGGAGCAAACAGGAUUAGAUACCCGAGUA
rnacentral:rRNA from 1 species